ACGGAAGGCAGCAGUGGGGAAUAUUGGGCAGUGGGCGAAAGCCUGACCCAGCAACGCCGCGUGAAGGAAGAAGGUCUUCGGAUUGUAAACUUCUUUUAUGAGGGACGAAGGACGUGACGGUACCUCAUGAAUAAGCCACGGCUAACUACGUGCCAGCAGCCGCGGUAAUACGUAGGUGGCAAGCGUUAUCCGGAUUUACUGGGUGUAAAGGGCGCGUAGGCGGGGAUGCAAGUCAGAUGUGAAAUCUAUGGGCUUAACUCAUAAACUGCAUUUGAAACUGUAUCUCUUGGGUGCUGGAGAGGUAGACGGAAUUCCUUGUGUAGCGGUGAAAUGCGUAGAUAUAAGGAAGAACACCAGUGGCGAAGGCGGUCUACUGGACAGUAACUGACGCUGAGGCGCGAAAGCGUGGGGAGCAAACAGGAUUAGAUACCCUGGUA
rnacentral:rRNA from 1 species